rnacentral:rRNA from 2 species
ACGGAAGGCAGCAGUGGGGGAUAUUGCACAAUGGGGGAAACCCUGAUGCAGCGACGCCGCGUGAGUGAUGAAGUAUUUCGGUAUGUAAAGCUCUAUCAGCAGGGAAGAAAAUGACGGUACCUGACUAAGAAGCACCGGCUAAAUACGUGCCAGCAGCCGCGGUAAUACGUAUGGUGCAAGCGUUAUCCGGAUUUACUGGGUGUAAAGGGAGCGUAGACGGAUGGCUAAGUCUGAUGUGAAAGGUGAGGGCUCAACCCUUAAACUGCAUUGGAAACUGGUCAUCUAGAGUGUCGGAGAGGUAAGUGGAAUUCCUAGUGUAGCGGUGAAAUGCGUAGAUAUUAGGAGGAACACCAGUGGCGAAGGCGGCUUACUGGACUGUAACUGACGUUGAGGCUCGAAAGCGUGGGGAGCAAACAGGAUUAGAUACCCUGGUA